rnacentral:rRNA from 1 species
UNUAGAGUAUCGGAGAGGAAAGUGGAAUUCCUAGUGUAGCGGUGAAAUGCGUAGAUAUUAGGAAGAACACCAGUGGCGAAGGCGACUUUCUGGACGAAAACUGACGCUGAGGCGCGAAAGCCAGNGGAGCGAACGGGAUUAGAUACCCCGGUAGUCCUGNCCGUAAACGAUGGGUACUAGGUGUAGGAGGUAUCGAUCCCUUCUGUGCCGGAGUUAACGCAAUAAGUACCCCGCCUGGGGAGUACGACCGCAAGGUUGAAACUCAAAGGAAUUGACGGGGGCCCGCACAAGCGGUGGAGUAUGUGGUUUAAUUCGACGCAACGCGAAGAACCUUACCAGGUCUUGACAUUGAUGGACAGAACCAGAGAUGGUUCCUCUUCUUCGGAAGCCAGAAAACAGGUGGUGCACGGUUGUCGUCAGCUCGUGUCGUGAGAUGUUGGGUUAANNNNNNCAACGAGCGCAACCCCUAUCUUAUGUUGCCAGCACUUCGGGUGGGGACUCAUGAGAGACUGCCGCAGACAAUGCGGAGGAAGGCGGGGAUGACGUCAAAUCAUCAUGCCCCUUAUGACCUGGGCUACACACGUACUACAAUGGGAGUUAAUAGACGGAAGCGAGAUCGCGAGAUGGAGCAAACCCGAGAAACACUCUCUCAGUUCGGAUCGUGGGCUGCAACUCGCCUACGUGAAGUCGGAAUCGCUAGUAAUCGCAGGUCAGCAUACUGCGGUGAAUACGUUCCCGGGCCCU